AACGGAAGUUUUCGGAUGGAAGUUGAAUUGACUGAGUGGCGGACGGGUGAGUAACGCGUGGGUAACCUGCCUUGUACUGGGGGACAACAGUUAGAAAUGACUGCUAAUACCGCAUAAGCGCACAGUAUCGCAUGAUACAGUGUGAAAAACUCCGGUGGUACAAGAUGGACCCGCGUCUGAUUAGCUAGUUGGUAAGGUAACGGCUUACCAAGGCGACGAUCAGUAGCCGACCUGAGAGGGUGACCGGCCACAUUGGGACUGAGACACGGCCCAAACUCCUACGGGAGGCAGCAGUGGGGAAUAUUGCACAAUGGGCGAAAGCCUGAUGCAGCGACGCCGCGCGAGUGAAGAAGUAUUUCGGUAUGUAAAGCUCUAUCAGCAGGGAAGAAAAUGACGGUACCUGACUAAGAAGCCCCGGCUAACUACGUGCCAGCAGCCGCGGUAAUACGUAGGGGGCAAGCGUUAUCCGGAUUUACUGGGUGUAAAGGGAGCGUAGACGGUAAAGCAAGUCUGAAGUGAAAGCCCGCGGCUCAACUGCGGGACUGCUUUGGAAACUGUUUAACUGGAGUGUCGGAGAGGUAAGUGGAAUUCCUAGUGUAGCGGUGAAAUGCGUAGAUAUUAGGAGGAACACCAGUGGCGAAGGCGACUUACUGGACGAUAACUGACGUUGAGGCUCGAAAGCGUGGGGAGCAAACAGGAUUAGAUACCCUGGUAGU
rnacentral:rRNA from 1 species